rnacentral:pre_miRNA from 1 species
GUGUGAAUUGCCUGGGGAGUUUGCUAAAAUGCAGAGUCUGAUACAGUAAGUCUGGGCCAGGGGCCCAAGAUUCUGCAUUUCUGACAAGCUCCUAGGUGAUGUCAAU